rnacentral:rRNA from 1 species
CUACGUGCCAGCAGCCGCGGUAAUACGUAGGUGGCAAGCGUUGUCCGGAAUUAUUGGGCGUAAAGCGCGCGCAGGCGGAUCGGUCAGUCUGUCUUAAAAGUUCGGGGCUUAACCCCGUGAUGGGAUGGAAACUGCCAAUCUAGAGUAUCGGAGAGGAAAGUGGAAUUCCUAGUGUAGCGGUGAAAUGCGUAGAUAUUAGGAAGAACACCAGUGGCGAAGGCGACUUUCUGGACGAAAACUGACGCUGAGGCGCGAAAGCCAGGGGAGCGAACGGGAUUAGAUACCCCGGUAGUCCUGGCCGUAAACGAUGGGUACUAGGUGUAGGAGGUAUCGACCCCUUCUGUGCCGGAGUUAACGCAAUAAGUACCCCGCCUGGGGAGUACGACCGCAAGGUUGAAACUCAAAGGAAUUGACGGGGGCCCGCACAAGCGGUGGAGUAUGUGGUUUAAUUCGACGCAACGCGAAGAACCUUACCAGGUCUU